CCUACGGGGGGCAGCAGUGAGGAAUAUUGGUCAAUGGACGAGAGUCUGAACCAGCCAAGUAGCGUGAAGGAUGACUGCCCUAUGGGUUGUAAACUUCUUUUAUAUAGGAAUAAAAUGUGCCACGUGUGGGCUUUUGUAUGUACCAUAUGAAUAAGGAUCGGCUAACUCCGUGCCAGCAGCCGCGGUAAUACGGGGGAUCCGAGCGUUAUCCGGAUUUAUUGGGUUUAAAGGGAGCGUAGGUGGAUUGUUAAGUCAGGUGUGAAAGUUUGCGGCUCAACCGUAAAAUUGCAGUUGAAACUGGCAGGCUUGAGUACAGUAGAGGUGGGCGGAAUUCGUGGUGUAGCGGUGAAAUGCUUAGAUAUCACGAAGAACUCCGAUUGCGAAGGCAGCUCACUGGACCGCAACUGACACUGAGGCUCGAAAGUGUGGGUAUCAAACAGGAUUAGAUACCCGAGUAGUC
rnacentral:rRNA from 1 species